GACUGCAGUCUGCAACUCGACUGCACGAAGCUGGAAUCGCUAGUAAUCGCGGAUCAGCACGCCGCGGUGAAUACGUUCCCGGGCCUUGUACACACCGCCCGUCACACCAUGGAAGUCUGCAAUGCCCGAAGCCGGUGGCCUAACCACUUAUGUGGAAGGAGCCGUCUAAGGCAGGGCAGAUGACUGGGGUGAAGUCGUAACAAGGUAUC
rnacentral:rRNA from 1 species